rnacentral:lncRNA from 1 species
GCACCUAUCUUCCUAGUGUCUAAGUGUCAAGAUGGAAGAAGUGUGGGUUGUCUACUUGUGCCUGUUCUUGCUUGUCUUGGUGCUCAUUUUAAUGAAGCGUGACCCAGAUUUGGAGGCUGCAAAGAAAGUUAAGGAAACACCAGACACCCCAGCACCAACCACCUAUUAUUCCAGUGAUGCUGGCAAACAUCUGGAAUGCACUGAAGAAGAGAUGGAGAAAUCCCUGGAGAGGCUAACCAGAAUCUUGUAUGGGGUAGAUGCUAGAAAAAGGGAAACCCACCAUGAGCAGAAAACAGCAAAGGCAGAAGCCUAUCACCAUUACAAAGCACCUGACGCAGAGUCUGAAACUAAAGAGCUAAUGGGAACGGGGCCAGGACAUUCUCGGCAUCUAUCUAGCCAGCACAGGGUUCAGGAGAAAGCAACUCAUUCUGGAGGCCCUGGGAAGAUCACGGAUGAAAUAGGUCUGAAAUGACUGUUCAGUCUGAGGCUGAUCAAAUCUAGAGGGGCUCCUGCUCCGGUUCCCAGUGUGUGCAGUGGCAGCUUGCAGAAGUAGUGACAUCACAGCCUUCCUGAAAAAGCCCUGGAGUAAAAUGAAGAAGAGGAGGCCCUUCCUGAGCAUGGCAGAGAGGGGGAUGCUGCACAUUUGACAUUGUAUUUCUUUUCUUUCUUUCUUUUUUUUUUUUAAGGCAACAGCCCAAUCUCCUGGGGAGGCUAGGUCAGACACAUAUGCUGUUUCUUGAGAAUAAACUUCCCAAUACGUUUGUACA